rnacentral:rRNA from 1 species
UUGAACGCUGGCGGCAGGCCUAACACCUGCAAGUCGAGCGGAUGAAGGGAGCUUGCUCCUGGAUUCAGCGGCGGACGGGUGAGUAAUGCCUAGGAAUCUGCCUGGUAGUGGGGGAUAACGUCCGGAAACGGGCGCUAAUACCGCAUACGUCCUGAGGGAGAAAGUGGAGGAUCUUCGGACCUCACGCUAUCAGAUGAGCCUAGGUCGGAUUAGCUAGUUGGUGGGGUAAAGGCCUACCAAGGCGACGAUCCGUAACUGGUCUGAGAGGAUGAUCAGUCACACUGGAACUGAGACACGGUCCAGACGCCUACGGGAGGCAGCAGUGGGGAAUAUUGGACAAUGGGCGAAAGCCUGAUCCAGCCAUGCCGCGUGUGUGAAGAAGGUCUUCGGAUUGUAAAGCACUUUAAGUUGGGAGGAAGGGCAGUAAGUUAAUACCUUGCUGUUUUGACGUUACCAACAGAAUAAGCACCGGCUAACUUCGUG